GUUUUUACUGAUAUCCAACAAACAAAUUCCCUAUUAUUACCGAAAUUUCCAUCUCAGUUGCCUUUUUCAAUUCUCUUCUACGUCUCUCAAAAUCCAUCUCAAUUCCCCCCUUUUUUGAGCAAAGCAAAACCACUAAAAACAUCAGUUUUACACAACCAAUCACAGUCUAAAUGUAAGUUUUUACAACUAAGAUAGAACUGCAAUCACGUCUGAAGCCCUCAAGGCGAUGUAAUCAGAGCCAUCUUUGCCUUUGAACUCAUUCCCGGCGUACUUUGAGUACAUCACGUUGUUUCCCACUGCGAUAGAUAGCGGUUUCCUUUUGCCCUCCUCGUCCAAAGGACCAGGACCAACUGCGAUCACCGUUCCGAUGGAAGGCUUCUCUUUGGUUGCCUCUGUCAACAAUAAACCUCCUGCUGUUUUUUCCUCAGCCUCAGCUACCUUGAUCAAGACCCGGUCGUUUAGGGGCUGAAGAUCUUUCGCAUCAUCUGUCUCUAGGAUACCAACUAUAUCAUCUUCCUUGAGAAUAAGAUGCUUUGAACCAUUGAAUUCUAACUCAGUUCCAGCAUACUUGGAGUACACUACUUGAGCACCAGUCUUUACACUUGCUUCCACUUUGGUAUUUCCAAUUGUCUUGCCUUCUCCAACUGCAACGACCUCCCCUCCUUGGGGUUUCGACUGAGCUGUUGUUGGAAGUAAAAUCCCUCCAUCAGUCUUCUCUUCAGCUUCCUUUAACUUCACCAACACUCUAUCACCCAAUGGCUUGAUUGAAGUGUACUUUGGAGCAACCACAGUAGCAGCUCUGACGACCAAGCCAGUGAAGGAUCUGUUGGCCAAACCCCCGACUCUAACAUGGGCAACCGAAGGAGAGAAUUUCACGGCAGAAGGACGAAGGCCAUUGAAAGAAGGCAAAUUCCUCG
rnacentral:misc_RNA from 1 species